GGAGAGAUAGCUCAGUGGUUAAAAGUACUGGCUGCUCUUUCAGAAGACCUGGGUUCAAUUCCCAGCUCCU
rnacentral:tRNA from 1 species